AUGAGUCAAUGGUGAUUAGAACUUAGAAAGGUAGGACAGUCGGGCAUCGCACAACAUCUGGAAUUCAAGACUCGAAAUUAAUGGGCCGCGAAUUUCUUUAUCUCUGGUUGUAGUCUAUCACAGUGUCCACGGCGAUUUGCAGCAACUGGACGGAGACUUGUGAGAUAUGUCCACUACCUCAUCUGCUCUGGCGCUCCGCCUCCCCUUUGCUUCCCCAAUCACCACCACCACCACCACCAAACUCACUUACCCAAUACGUAGCUCACGUUGGUCUACAACUAGUGCGAGGCUUGUGGGUUGUGCUCAUGCUGCCAUUUCAGGAAAAGGGCAAGGCACCUUUGAUCCAGAAUUGCGUUCCGUGCUUGAACUUGCGACGGACUCUGAGUUAUAUGAGCUUGAAAGAAUCCUUUUUGGCCCUAGCUACUUCAGCCCCUUGCUGAAAUCUAUAAUGAGCAGAACCAAUGUCGACUAUGCAAUGAUUGAAGAGGAUCUUGAAGAGCGAGAGGAAUUUUUAUCCACAUUAGAAUCGCGAUUCUUAUUCCUCGCAGCUGACGCCAGGUCAACGUUAAGGGGUUGGAGGCCAUCAUAUAGGAAUGUCUUGCUUGCAGUGAGAAAAGAGUUAAACAUUCCUUGCUCAAGCAAAUUGUCAACUGAAGACCUUGAAGCAGAGAUUUUCCUUCAUCUAUUGCGAGAUUAUUCAAGUGAAGAAUCAGGAAGUUUCCAGGGCUUGUUGGAAUUCUCUGAGCCCUCUGAUGCUCAACAUAGUCUUCAACUUGGACUCAGUCAAUGGAAGGUUCAGGCCCUUACUGCUUUAAAAGUCAGCGCAACAGAGCUCCGAUCAAUGUUUUUGAAGGGUGGUGGUAUCUUUACUUUGGCAAAGAUUUAUCAGUUGUUAGCUAGAAAGUUAUCUGGGAAGGUGUUCCUAGAAGCUGCCAACUAUCAGCUAAAAAGGGAUUUUGUCGGAAAGGGUGGACAAUUAGCUGCCAUUAAUCUAGAGUCCAGAGCGGCCUUUCUUGCAGCAAAACAAGGUUUUGCAGGGGCUACAUCAAGAUAUCUUGGCUUAAGAAGCAUGAUGGCUUUGCUCGGCCCAGUGCUUUGGGGAACAUUUCUGGCAGAUGUGGUCAUUCAAAUGCUAGGAACUGAUUAUGCAAGAAUCUUGCGAGCAAUUUAUGCUUUUGCACAGAUCCGUAUCACUCGCACAUACAGGUUACCGCCUGAUUACUGAAAAGCCUUGGAAUUUUGGGAGGGAAUACCUGUGGCAGAGUCUUCCCUUUGGCAGCAGCGGGGUCCUCAAUAAUGGGAGAAUAAGAUUGGGAGGCAUCUGUGCACCAUAGCUUGGAAGUAAUGAAGAUUUCAUCACGACUCUUGAUGACAUCGAGCGCCUGGACGACAGCUCGACCAAUGGCUUGUUCAGAUUGAUAGAAAGCGGCAGUAUCAAAAUGGUGGUAGCCUACCUCAAUGGCGUCCAUGAGAAUGGGGAGCAGGACAUUCGUUGGUGUUGGAGGCAACUUACCAGUCCCUAAACCCAGCAAGCACGGGCAUCUUAUGCCCUGAAUUUAGUACCACUUCUGGGACUUUUUUAAUUUUCUCCUCCAUUACUGGCUGACUCUCCUGAUCUUGAUGAGAUUCAGUUUUGUUUUGAUCACCCAGUAGUACUAGUUAACUAGCUAAUUAAGCUAUAGCUAGCUUAGCUAGCUACUAAUUAUGUAAUUAAGGAGUCUCCCUCCAGUUGCAGCUAUGACUUUUGAGGUUCUCGCUUGGGAAAUUGUGGAUUAAUAAUAAUAGUACACAUGAUCCAUCCUUCCAUGAAA